CGCGCGUCUAUAUUUCAAGAGAUCUGGAAAUAAAGGUAAAUUGCAUUGGUGAUAGGUAAUAAUGGCUACCCUAAUGGCUGAUAGUUCAAAAUGUUUUUUACACUUCAUUAAGCAAGAAAUCGGGAGAGAAGAAAUCAAAAUAAAAAUUGAACAAAUAGCAAGGGAAAAUAUAGACAUAUUUAAUCACCAGCAGAAGACGAAGAAAAAGUGAAUAAUUGCAACAGUUAAAAGAUGGACGUAGUUGAAGAAUGAAAUAUGAGAAAGUGACAGGAGCUUCAUACGUGAGAAGAAAAUGGUGCACUGCAGGUGAGCAAGGGAAACUGAAAAUAUCACACAUACACGUUCAAUUCCUCUGACUGGAUUUUAUACACUAUAUUUUUUUUUUGAUAAACAGAGGUUUUUAGAGACUGUCAGUAAGCAACUUUAAAAUUAGCAUGCGGAAUAAAAUUCCCCUCUCCAGCGUAGAGACUCGUGCAUGUGCGUGUGUGGGCGUAGGCGGGUGUCCUCCACAUGCGCGAUUCAAGUCAGCAACCCAAAGUUCAGUCAAUUUCUGUAAUGUUGUUUUACUCUGUUAAAUCUCUCAAUAAAUGCAUCCAGAUUGGAUUGGAUCAGACUGAGCUCAGAAUUGACAAGGUUAUUGUAUCAAUUUGUUGGUUCCUAAAAUAGGGCAACCAACCAUCUCAACUUUAAAAAGUACUUUUACUGGUGAAAAUAUAGGGACUAAUUUAGAUAUGAAAUCAUUAACAUCUACAUCAUUUACAGCUUUGGUUCUCAAAUUUCUCCAUUCACCAAUGACACAUUGAGAAAGGAAAUGUUUCCUCACGUCUAGUCUCACAUUUUAGUUAGAAAUUUUUAUCACAUGAUCAUAAGUGUGAGUAGUA